ACACGACCACCUUGGUCCGGCCCUGCGCGAUGCCCGGCAUCGGAAAUGCCGCAGCCAUGCCGAGCGCACCGGUUCCUAUCAGCAAGCUCCGGCGGGGCGGNNNNNNGGCGAAGUCAUGUUCCAUGGUCUCCUUGUGGGAUGGCCGCGCCGGCAACCGCGACGGGAAGAUGAAGCCUCUCCGGAGAUGGAUUUUCCAGUUCAUCGCGA
rnacentral:misc_RNA from 1 species